ensembl:snoRNA
AAGACUAUACUUUCAGGGAUCAUUUCUAUAGUUCGUUACUAGAGAAGUUUCUCUGACUGUGUAGAGCACCCGAAACCACGAGGAGGAGACGGAGCUUUCUCCCCUGAGCGUGAAGCCGGCUCCAGGUGCUGCUUUUCUGCAGCUGCCUCUUGCCAUUGAUGAUCGUUCUUCUCUCCCUCGGGAGAGUGAGAGGGGGAGAAAGCAGUCUGAGUGGUU